AGACGUCAAGUCAUCAUGACCCUUACGAGUAGGGCUACUCACGUGCUACAAUGGCGCAUACAGAGGGCGGCCAACUUGCGAAAGUGAGCGAAUCCCAAAAAGUGCGUCGUAGUCCGGAUUGGAGUCUGCAACUCGACUCCAUGAAGUCGGAAUCGCUAGUAAUCGUGGAUCAGAAUACCACGGUGAAUACGUUCUUUGGUCGGGGAACACACCCCCCGUCACACCAUGGGAGUGGGCUGCAAAAGAAGUGGGUAGUUUAAC
rnacentral:rRNA from 1 species